rnacentral:rRNA from 1 species
AGUGAACGCUGGCGGUAGGCCUAACACAUGCAAGUCGAACGGCAGCACAGUAAGAGCUUGCUCUUACGGGUGGCGAGUGGCGGACGGGUGAGGAAUACAUCGGAAUCUACUUUUUCGUGGGGGAUAACGUAGGGAAACUUACGCUAAUAUCGCAUACGACCUACGGGUGAAAGCAGGGGAUCUUCGGACCUUGCGCGAUUGAAUGAGCCGAUGUCGGAUUAGCUAGUUGGCGGGGUAAAGGCCCACCAAGGCGACGAUCCGUAGCUGGUCUGAGAGGAUGAUCAGCCACACUAGAACUGAGACACGGUCCAGACGCCUACGGGAGGCAGCAGUGGGGAAUAGUGGACAAUGGGCGCAAGCCUGAUCCAGCCAUACCGCGUGGGUGAAGAAGGCCUUCGGGUUGUAAAGCCCUUUUGUUGGGAAAGAAAAGCAGCAGGUUAAUACCCCGCUGUUCUGACGGUACCCAAAGAAUAAGCACCGGCUAACUUCGUG